rnacentral:rRNA from 1 species
UACGUAGGGAGCAAGCGUUUGUCCGGAAUCAUUGGGCGUAAAGCGCGCGUAGGUGGCUCUAUAAGUCCGUUUGUGAAAGUCAAAGGCUCAACCUUUGAAAGCCGAUGGAUACUGUAGAGCUAGAGUCCGGAAGAGGCGAGUGGAAUUCCUGGUGUAGCGGUGGAAUGCGCAGAUAUCAGGAGGAACACCAAUAGCGAAGGCAGCUCGCUGGGACGGUACUGACACUAAGGCGCGAAAAGCGUGGGGAGCGAACAGG